rnacentral:rRNA from 1 species
UGGGGAAUAUUGGACAAUGGGGGCAACCCUGAUCCAGCGACGCCGCGUGGGUGAAGAAGGCCUGCGGGUUGUAAAGCCCUUUCGGUUGGGAAGAAAAGCUGUGACCUAACACGUCGCGGCCUUGACGUAACCAACUAAAGAAGCACCGGCUAACUCUGUGCCAGCAGCCGCGGUAAUACAGAGGGUGCGAGCGUUAAUCGGAAUUACUGGGCGUAAAGCGCGCGUAGGCGGCUUUGUAAGUCGGUUGUGAAAUCCCCGGGCUUAACCUGGGAACUGCAUCCGAGACUGCAUAGCUAGAGUAUGGGAGAGGGAAGUGGAAUUUCAGGUGUAGCGGUGAAAUGCGUAGAUAUCUGAAGGAACAUCAGUGGCGAAAGCGACUUCCUGGACCAAUACUGACGCUCAUGUGCGAAAGCGUGGGGAGCAAACAGGAUUAGAUACCCUGGUAGUCCACGCCAUAAACGAUGAGAACUGGAUGUCGGAGGGGUCUGCCCUUCGGUGUCGUAGCUAACGCGUUAAGUUCUCC